rnacentral:rRNA from 1 species
CCUGAACGCUGGCGGCGUGGCUAAGACAUGCAAGUCGAACGGGUGUAGCAAUACACCAGUGGCGGACGGGUGAGUAAUGUAUCGCUAACGUGCCCUGGAAUCUGAGAUAGCCAAUCGAAAGGUUGGGUAAUACCAGAUGAAAUAUCCUUAUCGCAUGAUGAGGAUCUCAAAGGAGCAAUCCGGUCUGGGAGCGGGCGAUAUCGUAUCAGCUAGUUGGUGAGGUAACGGCUCACCAAGGCGACGACGCGUAGCCGGGCUGAGAGGUCGGCCGGCCACAUUGGGACUGAGACACUGCCCAGACUCCGUAC